AUUGAAGAUGAAAAGACUUCGGAUCUUUAUUUUGGAAAUUAACCCUUCAAUU
rnacentral:tRNA from 1 species